GCCGAGGUGGCGGAACCGGUAGACGCGAAGGUCUCAAAAACCUUUGCCCUUGCGGGCGUGAGGGUUCGAGUCCCUCCCUCGGCA
rnacentral:tRNA from 2 species